GACUGCGUAGCUCAGCUGGCAGAGCAUUGGGCUAGUAUUCCAAAGGUCGUAGGUUCAAUUCCCACCGUGGCCA
rnacentral:tRNA from 1 species